rnacentral:rRNA from 1 species
UUGCUCCUUUGACGUUAGCGGCGGACGGGUGAGUAACACGUGGAUAACCUACCUAUAAGACUGGGAUAACUUCGGGAAACCGGAGCUAAUACCGGAUAAGAUUUUGAACCGCAUGGUUCAAUAGUGAAAGACGGCCUUGCUGUCACUUAUAGAUGGAUCCGCGCCGUAUUAGCUAGUUGGUAAGGUAACGGCUUACCAAGGCAACGAUACGUAGCCGACCUGAGAGGGUGAUCGGCCACACUGGAACUGAGACACGGUCCAGACUCCUACGGGAGGCAGCAGUAGGGAAUCUUCCGCAAUGGGCGAAAGCCUGACGGAGCAACGCCGCGUGAGUGAUGAAGGUCUUCGGAUCGUAAAACUCUGUUAUCAGGGAAGAACAAACGUGUAAGUAACUGUGCACGUCUUGACGGUACCUGAUCAGAAAACCACGGCUAACUACGUGCCAGCAGCCGCGGUAAUACGUAGGUGGCAAGCGUUAUCCGGAAUUAUUGGGCGUAAAGCGCGCGUAGGCGGUUUUUUAAGUCUGAUGUGAAAGCCCACGGCUCAACCGUGGAGGGUCAUUGGAAACUGGAAAACUUGAGUGCAGAAGAGGAAAGUGGAAUUCCAUGCGUAGCGGUGAAAUGCGCAGAGAUAUGGAGGAACACCAGUGGCGAAGGCGACUUUCUGGUCUGUAACUGACGCUGAUGU